GGGGUAAUAGCUCAGUUGGUAGAGCACAGGACUUGCAUUCCUAAAGCUCUGGUUAACUCCAGGAACCCCA
rnacentral:tRNA from 1 species